CCUUCUAGACACAUUACAAUAUCCCCUUUGUGGUUUCAUUUUGUUACAGGUCUUUGUUGCCUGGAUAUCAGGUGAUCAUUCAAUUUGUGUGUUCUCUGCAUUAAACAUCUCCAUUAAUUUAGAUUUCCACCGUAGCCUAUUGAAAGCGACGUGUGGAAUCCUGUCCAAGGAUAAAUUAGGACUGUGUGUAUAGUUGGACCACACUGUAGACAAUUAAAAAGUAUAACUCAGUUUCCGUUAAACCUUUUAUAGUCCUUUUAAUUUCGCGCUGAAAGCGUAAGUCUCGCGCAGCCACAGCAGGCGGUGCUCCAGGCGGGGGAUAUUCAUCCACACACUCACUGACCAUCACACUCAAACCGGUAAAAACAAACAUGGCAAAUAUACAUUAACUUAAAAUAUACAUAUGCACAGCGUUUAUACGUGUUUAUUCCUGUAAUUUGGCUUAGCGGUGUUAAUCAGCAAUCGUCAUGUAUUUACACAAAUAAACAACAGUUGUUAGUACAGCUUAUAAAUGUAGCUAAUAAAAAGCCAGUUCAACUAAGCUAGCUUCUUCAUAGUGCUAUCAAAAAAUAAGGAAGUGUCCUCAGGUGUUCGCUUGUGGAAAGAGAAAGUAAUCACUAAUCGCAUUGUCAGCAGCACUGCGCUGACAAAGAUGUAAACGUCCCGUGUUUUUUCAGAUGUGAUCACGCCUGCGUAGUCCAUUAAAAUGUUGGACUCCAAUGACACCUUCUUUUCCCUGGACAAUCUCUUCUUUGAAGGGCCUGUCGUCCACAAAGUGAAGCCAAUGUGCCAAGAGGCCAGUUCAUGGAGGUUGGAUGCUCCUCCAUCCACCUCUCAGAUCCCAUGCACCCAGGACAUCCAGAAAGAGGCAGAGACUCUCUCGUCCUUAUGCAAUGUCUUGGGGCCCUUCCCAUCCAAAUUCAUCAGUUCUCACGGCCUACAAAACCAUCAGGGAGAUACAGGGAAUAAUCAGGGGUACAAGGGCGGGGCUGACUGUUUUUGGGGAGGCCAGGGUUACUUCAGCCACUCUGAGGGACGUGGAGAUGAAACACCUCUGGACAAUGGCCAUGCCGCCGCUAACCGAAGGGCUUUGUAUGAAGAAUUUGGAGAAAGCACACCUCAACGAAGAAGGCAAGAUUUAGUAAUG